UACGUAGGGUGCAAGCGUUGUCCGGAAUUAUUGGGCGUAAAGAGCUCGUAGGCGGUCUGUCGCGUCUGCUGUGAAACUCAGGGCUUAACCCUGAGCUUGCAGUGGGUACGGGGCAGACUAGAGUGCGGUAGGGGAGACUGGAAUUCCUGGUGUAGCGGUGAAAUGCGCAGAUAGUCAGGAGGAACACCGGUGGCGGAAGGCGGGUCUCUGGGCCGUAACUGACGCUGGAGGAGCGGAAAGCAUGGGGAG
rnacentral:rRNA from 1 species